rnacentral:lncRNA from 1 species
CAAUGCAAUGCUAAAUGGGACGGGGUUCGACUCAAAAUGAAGAAAGCUCAUGAGGGGUUAAACCAAUCUAGGAAAAGCUCCGUAGUAAAAGAAGAACAGCCAAGGAUCCCAAUUGAAUACCAUGGAAAAGAUACCAAUUGAAGGAUCAAAAAUUGAUAUCACUUGAAAAAGAUGGAAUCCAAUUGAAAGAUCAAAUAUGAUAAUAAUUAAAAAAUUAAAGCGGAUAUCAAAAACCAAAGCAAGUCUUGGUCCAAACUCCCCCUCGAAUGAAGCCGAACUCCC